UUUGCAGGAGUAGCCUGGGCCAGCGCCCACAGAAUUGCCUGCGUGCCCCACGGGGUCAUGUUAGCACACCAUGUUUGCUAACUCUCUGUGAACCCAAACAAAGAGGAGACACCCUUGGCAACCUGAAUUGUGCCUUCCUCUCGACUCCCCAGAUCGGGCGUUGUCCUUACAGCUGACAGCACAUUCCAUCUACUCGGCAAUGUAGAACUAAUGAAGAUCUGCCAUGCUGUGGGGCAGCCCAAGCAGCCACGUGGAGAAGCCCAUGAUUCUUCACUUGUAGAUAGCCCAGGUGAACUCCCAGCCACGUGAGUGAAUCAUCUGGAAAAUGCAUCUUCCAGCUCCUGCCAAACUGACCCUGCUGAUGCCACUUGGAGUAGUUAUGAAUUGUCCCCACCAGGCUCCACCCAACUGCAAAAUCAUGAGCAAAUAAAUAAAUGAUCGUUGUUG